rnacentral:tRNA from 1 species
GCCUGGCUGGCUCAGUCAGUAGAGCAUGUGACUCUUGAUCUCAGGGUUGUGAGUUCAAGCCCCACUUUGGGUG